rnacentral:rRNA from 1 species
UACAGAGGUCCCAAGCGUUGUUCGGAUUCAUUGGGCGUAAAGGGUGCGUAGGUGGCGGGGUAAGUCGGAUGUGAAAUCUCGGGGCUCAACCUCGAAACUGCAUUCGAUACUGCCUUGCUAGAGUACUGGAGAGGAGAUCGGAAUUUACGGUGUAGCAGUGAAAUGCGUAUAUAUCGUAAGGAAGACCAGUGGCGAAGGCCGACCGCUGGACAGUUACUGACACUGAGGCCCGAAGGCCAGGGGAGCAAACGGG